ACUCCUACGGGAGGCAGCAGCAAGGAAUUUUCCGCAAUGGGCGCAAGCCUGACGGAGCAACGCCGCGUGCGGGAUGACGCCUUUCGGGGUGUAAACCGCUGUUCGUGGGGACGAAGCACUGACGGUACCCACGGAGGAAGGCCCGGCUAACUACGUGCCAGCAGCCGCGGUAAUACGUAGGGGCCGAGCGUUGUCCGGAGUUACUGGGCGUAAAGCGUGCGCAGGCGGCGUAUCGCGCCCGGCGUGAAAGCCCCCGGCUCAACCGGGGAGGGUCGUCGGGGACGGGUACGCUUGAGGGCAGCAGGGGCUGGUGGAAUUCCCGGUGUAGUGGUGAAAUGCGUAGAGAUCGGGAGGAACACCUGUGGCGAAGGCGGCCAGCUGGGCUGCACCUGACGCUGAGGCACGAAGGCGUGGGGAGCGAACGGGAUUAGAUACCCCGGUAGUCCACGCAGUAAACGAUGCAGACUAGGCGUGGGGGGACUUGACCCCCUCCGUGCCGGAGCUAACGCGGGAAGUCUGCCGCCUGGGGAGUACGGCCGCAAGGCUAAAACUCAAAGGAAUUGACGGGGGCCCGCACAAGCGGCGGAGCGUGUUGUUUAAUUCGUCGCAACGCGAAGAACCUUACCAGGG
rnacentral:rRNA from 1 species